GGGCCAUAGCUCAGUGGAAGAGCAUUUGCUUUGCAUGCAGAUGGUCCCUGGUUCAGUCCCCAGCAUCUCCA
rnacentral:tRNA from 1 species